CCUACGGGUGGCAGCAGUGGGGAAUAUUGCACAAUGGGGGAAACCCUGAUGCAGCGACGCCGCGUGAGUGAAGAAGUAUUUCGGUAUGUAAAGCUCUAUCAGCAGGGAAGAAAUAGCGACCUUUGGGUCGCCAGACGGUACCUGACUAAGAAGCCCCGGCUAACUACGUGCCAGCAGCCGCGGUAAUACGUAGGGGGCAAGCGUUAUCCGGAUUUUUUGGGGUUAAAGGGUGCGUAGGCGGAUUUUUAAGUCCGCGGUAAAAUGUCCGGGCUCAACCCGGGCCGGCCGUUGAAACUGGGGGUCUUGAGUGGGCGAGAAGUAUGCGGAAUGCGUGGUGUAGCGGUGAAAUGCAUAGAUAUCACGCAGAACUCCGAUUGCGAAGGCAGCAUACCGGAGCCCGACUGACGCUGAGGCACGAAAGCGUGGGGAUCGAACAGGAUUAGAUACCCCUGUAGUC
rnacentral:rRNA from 1 species